CAGCCCAACCAAGAAAACUAUACGAAUUUCUAAAAAUUGUAUAUGCCUGACACAAAGACCUAUGAAGAAUUAGGCAAGACUUAUGGAAAUCCUGCUGAACAAGACAUUUCUUCACCAUCCUUGAUGAAAGAUGAACAUUAAUAAUGCAGAUAAGAAUGAGGCCAAGUCAUGUCGAAGAGAAAACAAGAUCCAGAAAAACUAAUUCCUUUUAGAAGAAUAAAUUUAAAAUGGCAAGCUCAAUAGUUCCACCACAGGGAAGAAUGAGGUUUCAAGUUGGACAUAUACUUCAAAAUCCCAUGGAAAUUCACAAGAUAGAAAACCCUCUUCCAAUAAUAAAAUACAAGACAGCACUCACUGAAUACUGAAAGCUAGGGUUGGUUUCACUGGGUAAAAGACAGAUGAAAAAGGUAA